UCCUACGGACGCAGCAGUGAGGAAUAUUGGUCAAUGGGCGCGAGCCUGAACCAGCCAAGUCGCGUGAGGGAAGACGGUCCUAUGGAUUGUAAACCUCUUUUGUCGGGGAGCAAAAGACGCCACGCGUGGCGUUCCGAGAGUACCCAAAGAAAAAGCAUCGGCUAACUCCGUGCCAGCAGCCGCGGUAAUACGGAGGAUGCGAGCGUUAUCCGGAUUUACUGGGCGUAAAGGGAGCGUAGGCGGCCUGCCAAGUCUGAUGUGAAAUACCGGGGCUCAACCCCGGGGCUGCAUUGG
rnacentral:rRNA from 1 species